rnacentral:rRNA from 1 species
CCCUUAGAUGUCCUGGGCUGCACGCGCGCUACACUGAUGUGUCCAGUAAGCACCUAACCUCUUCCGAAAGGAACGGGUAACCUUUGCAAAGCACAUCGUGAUGGGGAUAGAUUAUUGCAAUUAUUAGUCUUGAACGAGGAAUUCCUAGUAAGCACAAGUCAUCAGCUUGUGUUGAUUACGUCCCUGCCCUUUGUACACACCGCCCGUCGCUCCUACCGAUUGAAUGAUCCGGUGAGCUCUUCGGACUGCGCGGUCUGCAGUUUCUGCGUUCCGUGCGGAAAGUUGCGCAAACCUUAACAUUUAGAGGAAGGAGAAGUCGUAACA